rnacentral:rRNA from 1 species
UUUCAUUUAAGCAGGCAGAUCCAUUUUCUGCCACCGAAUACAUUAGCAUGGGAUAAUGGAAUAGGACCCUGUCCUCCUAUUUUCAGUUGGUUUUGGCAGCGCGAGGACUAGGGUAAUGAUUAAUAGGGAUAGUUGGGGGCAUUAAUAUUUAAUUGUCAGAGGUGAAAUUCUUGGAUUUAUGAAAGAUUAACUUCUGCGAAAGCAUCUGCCAAGGAUGUUUUCAUUAAUCAAGAACGAAAGUUAGGGGAUCGAAGACGAUCAGAUACCGUCGUAGUCUUAACCAUAAACGAUGCCGACCAGCGAUUAGGAGACGUUGAAUACAAAACACCACCAUCGGUUGCGGUCGUCCUUGGCGUCUCGGUUUCGGCCGGGGCGCGGGGACGGUUUAGCCCGGUGGCACCGGUGAAUGACUCCCUAGGGUUUUGUGAGAAUCA